CUUCCGGGAGGCAGCAGUGGGGAAUUUUUGGACAAUGGGCGCAAGCCUGAUCCAGCCAUGCCGCGUGUGUGAAGAAGGCCUUAUGGUUGUAAAGCACUUUAAGCGAGGAGGAGGCUACUGAAGUUAAUACCUUCAGAUAGUGGACGUUACUCGCAGAAUAAGCACCGGCUAACUCUGUGCCAGCAGCCGCGGUAAUACAGAGGGUGCAAGCGUUAAUCGGAUUUACUGGGCGUAAAGCGCGCGUAGGCGGCUAAUUAAGUCAAAUGUGAAAUCCCCGAGCUUAACUUGGGAAUUGCAUUCGAUACUGGUUAGCUAGAGUGUGGGAGAGGAUGGUAGAAUUCCAGGUGUAGCGGUGAAAUGCGUAGAGAUCUGGAGGAAUACCGAUGGCGAAGGCAGCCAUCUGGCCUAACACUGACGCUGAGGUGCGAAAGCAUGCGGAGCAAACAGGAUUAGAUACCCUGGUAGUCCAUGCCGUAAACGAUGUCUACUAGCCGUUGGGGCCUUUGAGGCUUUAGUGGCGCAGCUAACGCGAUAAGUAGACCGCCUGGGGAGUACGGUCGCAAGACUAAAACUCAAAUGAAUUGACGGGGGCCCGCACAAGCGGUGGAGCAUGUGGUUUAAUUCGAUGCAACGCGAAGAACCUUACCUGGCCUUGACAUAGUAAGAACUUUCCAGAGAUGGAUUGGUGCCUUCGGGAACUUACAUACAGGUGCUGCAUGGCUGUCGUCAGCUCGUGUCGUGAGAUGUUGGGUUAAGUCCCGCAACGAGCGCAACCCUUUUCCUUAUUUGCCAGCGAGUAAUGUCGGGAACUUUAAGGAUACUGCCAGUGACAAACUGGAGGAAGGCGGGGACGACGUCAAGUCAUCAUGGCCCUUACGGCCAGGGCUACACACGUGCUACAAUGGUCGGUACAAAGGGUUGCUACCUAGCGAUAGGAUGCUAAUCUCAAAAAGCCGAUCGUAGUCCGGAUUGGAGUCUGCAACUCGACUCCAUGAAGUCGGAAUCGCUAGUAAUCGCGGAUCAGAAUGCCGCGGUGAAUACGUUCCCGGGCCUUGUACACACCGCCCGUCACACCAUGGGAGUUUGUUGCACCAGAAGUCAGGUAGUCUAACCGCAAGGAGGACGCUUACCCACGGU
rnacentral:rRNA from 1 species